rnacentral:ncRNA from 1 species
CGGUUUUGGUCGCCCUUUUGGGGCGCCAAGAGGGAAUCGGGUGCAAGUCCCGAGCAGUCCCGCUGCUGUGAGUUUCAACAACAUGCGCUGCCCGUAAGUCCACUGCGUAUCGCCAUAGGUGCGUGGGAAGGAGGAUGGCGUGAAACAAGCCAGAAGACCUGCCAAAGCCUUU